GCCGGGAUGGUACAGUGGUCGACUACGCCUGAUUUGUAAUCAGGAUUCGCAAGAACACGGGGGUUCGAAUCCCUCUCCCGGCUCCA
rnacentral:tRNA from 1 species